UGGGGAAUAUUGCACAAUGGGCGCAAGCCUGAUGCAGCCAUGCCGCGUGUAUGAAGAAGGCCUUCGGGUUGUAAAGUACUUUCAGCGAGGAGGAAGGCGGUAAGGUUAAUAACCUUAUCGAUUGACGUUACUCGCAGAAGAAGCACCGACUAACUCCGUGCCAGCAGCCGCGGUAAUACGGAGGGUGCAAGCGUUAAUCGGAAUUACUGGGCGUAAAGCGCACGCAGGCGGUCUGUCAAGUCGGAUGUGAAAUCCCCGGGCUCAACCUGGGAACUGCAUUCGAAACUGGCAGGCUAGAGUCUUGUAGAGGGGGGUAGAAUUCCAGGUGUAGCGGUGAAAUGCGUAGAGAUCUGGAGGAAUACCGGUGGCGAAGGCGGCCCCCUGGACAAAGACUGACGCUCAGGUGCGAAAGCGUGGGGAGCAAACA
rnacentral:rRNA from 1 species